ensembl:lncRNA
GGAGGGUGUGUGUCUGUGCCGUGGCCGCCGCCGCUGCCGCCUGUCGCUGAGGCUGGCAUCUCCGAGCCCCCGCGCGGGGGGCUGCCGCCCGAGCGCUGAUUGACAGGCUGCCUCGCCAAUGCCUGGAGGGAGAAAGGAGGGACUCCAAGAGAAUACCUGACUCCCUCAUGUCUCCCCAUUGUACAGAUGAGAAAACUGAGGCUCUCCGAGGUUGAAGGGAAUUGGCCAAAGUCAGAUUCUCAGGAGUGGACGACAGAGUUGAAUUGAUGAAUUGAGCUCAUUUGAAUUCAAAUGCUUACUUCUUAUAGCAAGUACACUGUAUAAUUGAGGGAGUAAAAUGACACCUCCCUUUGGGGUGUUGAGUAAUUUUAAAAUGUUACAUAUAUUUUGUACAUGUGAUAUACAUGUAUGUGUGUGUGUGUAUAUCUAUCUAUCUAUCUAUCUAUCUAUCUAUAGAUCUAUCUAUCUAUCUAUUUAUCUCACACUUGCAGGACUGAGACUGUCCAAGGGUUCUUACUCCCUGAAUUGCCCAGUAAAUUACUCACUGCAGCUGGUGCCACCAGGCCAGUUUCUGGAGAAUACACAAUUGCAGUAGUUUAGAGAAGAUCUCAAUGGUUCGAGUACAAACCUCAUGGGGUACAGAUGUCUUAAAAUAUAGAGGACAUCCUGGGCUCCUCUCAGUCACUUUUUCAGCAGAGCCCAUUCUCCCUGACUCAAAUUACCCUUCCUUCAGGCCGACUUCAAUACCAGCAUCCCUGCUCAGGGAUUGGGUUCCAGCCUUCAUUCUUCACUAUCCAGGUCAGAGUUCAGGGUGCUCCUUGAUGUAUAACCCUCAUCUCCCCGGUCUGGAGCUAGUUUCUUUUUCAGAGCUUUCCUUUUAGAAAAAGAGAAGGUAUCCCAUUUUCUUCUUUCGGGGUCCGGUUCAUUUGGUUCUCAUUUCCCUGAUCUCCCUUCCUUUGGAAGCAUUCUCUUUCUUCUUUGCUGGUUCAGCUUCUGUGCUCCUCCACCCUAGAUUGUCUCCCUCUCUGCUGUGGGCUCCUCAGAUGGUGCUGGCCCCCCUCCAUUUAUUAGAGAUGAAAUAAAUAAUGCCAUAAAUAAAAGUAUUUGGGAAUCCAGGAACUGUCAGGGCUGAUUAGGGCAUAGAGGACAUUUUCUUUCUCAUUAUGCAAAAGCAUUUCAUGGGGAAAUAAAAGAGGUUUCAUUGUAACUCAUGCAUGUCAUAUUUCAAGGAAUUCAAGAUAUUAAUCAUAUUUAACAUUAUUUGCAACAUUUCUUCCUGGCUUCUGAAAACUGCUAAAUGAGGACAUGUGGAUCACUGGGAAAAAGGGAGACAAGCAUGAGAAGGACAGUUAAGAAAUAAUGAAAUCCUGGUGAAAGACAGAGAGAAUGAGAUGCCAGGGAGAUGUUUCUGAAGCACAUAAGUGAGAAAUGGGGGAGCUACCUCUGAAACGUGAGACAGCUGAAAUUGAAUGAUGUACUGGAGGAAAUAAGUGAUAACAAACCUAUCCACACUUUCCUUUCUAUAGAGCAGUUCAGAAUUUUGCACUGAAAUGUUGUUCCCUCCCACUUUAUUCCCAGCUAAUUUGCCAGGGAGUCCUAGCUUUUGAAAAGAAAUUGAGGUGGUAGUAUGGUGGUUUAGGGGGAGAUAUCCUUCAGUCCUUUUAUUGAAGAAAUGAUUUCCUGGACCUGAAGGCUUUGUCUUCUGCUUAGGUAUUUUUAAUUUGUGUCAUCUUAACCUCUUAAACACCUUUAAAAAAUUGGAAACAAUACUUCCAUUGUUAUUUGUUAUACUUUACCAACUAAUUACUAAAGGGAUCUGCAAUCCUGUAUCAAAAAGUAGCCCUUUUUAUAAAAUUGAAUGCUCCAAUUAGUGGUUGCUUUGGUUUGAGUGUCCCCCAAAAAGGAUGUGUAGGAAAAUUUAUCCCCAGUGCAACAGUAAUGGGAGGUUGGGCCUAAGGGGAGGUGCUUAUGUCAUGAAGGCUGUACUCUCAUGAAGGGAUUCAUGCCUUUUAUAGAAGUUUGAGUCUGAGAGUUUGAUCUCUUGUUCUUUUUCACCAUAUAAUUCCUUCUGCUAUGUUGUGACAUGGCAAGAAGGCCCUAACUGGAUGUUACUCCUUGAUCUUAGACUUCCCAGCCUCCAGAACUGAAAGAAAGAAAUCUCUGUUCUUUGUAAACUGUUCAGUCUGUGAUAUUCUGCUAUAGUAGCACAAAACAGACUAAGACAAAAAGUAGGUAACGAGAAGUGGGACUGUUGCUAUAAAAAUUACCUGAAAACGUGGAAAUGGCUUUAGAACUAGGUAAUGGAUAGAGGCCGGAAGAAUUUGGAGGAACAGACUAGAAAAAGCUGAGAUUUCCCUGAAUGGCAUAUUAAUGGCCAUUCUAAUAAGGCAAUCAGUAGAGAACCAUAGGGAAAGUGUGGAUCUUCUUAGAGAUUACUUAAGUAGUUUUGAUCAAAAUGCUAGUAAAAAAUAUGUAUAGUGAAAGCCACAAGAUCUCCAGUGGAAAUGAGGAGCAAAGUAUUAGAAACUGAACUAAAGGCUAUUCUUGUUAUAUAGUUGUACAGGAAUUGGUGGAAUUGUGUCCUAGGAAUUUAUGGAAGACCCACUUUAAGAGCAGUGAACUAGGAUUUCUCAUAGAACUAUCUAAGUGGCAAGGCAUCGAAGGUGCUUCAUGGCUUCUUUUGGUGCCUUAGAGUAAAAGGAGGGAAGAGAGAAAUGACGUACAGAUAGAAUUUACAAUUAAAAGGGAAACAGCAGAAAUAUUUGGGAAUUUGCAGCCUGGAUCCUCGAAGAGUGCAAAAAGUGUUUUCAGGAGAGAAUACUAAGGUUGUGGCCAAGGGACCCUUUGCUAAAGAGAUUAAAAAUGGGUAGAAGGGGUGGGUGGGCAUUUAGCUGAGUGUCACAGUGCCUGCCUCACAAGCGAAAGGACCUGAGUUUGAGUUUGAACCCCAGUACCAAAAAAAAAAAAAAAAAAGAAGAAGGCAGCCAGGUUCUUUUCAUCAGGAUGUUGGGAAAAUGACCCUGAUGACCCUGAAGGCAUGUUAGAGAUCUUUGAGGGAAAGGUUUCAAGACAGGUGUGUGUGGGAUUUCAGCCUUUGUUUCUCAGGGCCACUUGGGACUUUGUUUCUGCAUUCUGGUGCAGGAUGGCUUCAGUGAACCCAGGAGUGGCUCCGGUCAGCCUUUGAGGCAUCUGUGUGGUGCUAAUUUUGCAGAUGUGCAGAGUACACAAGCUAUGGAGCUAUGGCUUGUGUAUCUAAAUUUCACCUAAAUUUCCACCUAAAUUUUAAAACAUGUAUUGGACAUGCUGGGAAACGAGGCAGACUUGUCAGAGGUACAGAGCCAUCACAGAAAGCCCCUACUAAGGGCAGUGCCUUAGUAGAGCCAUGGAAUGUUAACAUGGAGGUGUUAAUGUUCAACUCCAGCCUGGGAGAGUUGCAGAGGAUUAGGAGUGGGAUACCUGAUGGUAGGGGGACCCAAAUCCUCUGUGAGUCCAGGAAGUGGUACAUGGAGUAAAAGAUUAUUCUAGAGGCUUAGGAUUUAAUGUUGUUUGCCUUGUUGGGUUUUAGACUUAAUCCCCACCCCACUGCUGCAGUUUGAAAGUACUAUAGAUAACUUGUUUGACUUUACUGACUCACAGCUGAAGGGGAAUUUGCCUCAGGAAGAAUUGUGCCUUAGUUUCACCUAUAUCUAAAUUAGAUGAGACUCUGAACUUUUGAUUUUUAAGUUGGCACUGGACUAAAGUCUUUGGGGCUGGGCCGGGGAUUUAGCUCAGUGGUUCGGCCGCCUCCCUCGAAAGGGGAAGGACCUGAGUUCCAUCCCCGGUACAAAAGAAAAAAAAAGACUUUGGGGCUAUAGGGAUGGAAUGAAUAUAUGUGGAAUGGAAUGAAUUUAUGUAAGAAGGACAUGAUUUGGGGGACCUACAUCAGACUGUGUCCCUCAAAAAGCAGGUGUUGGAAACUCAAUCCCCACUGCAGCAGUGUUGGGAAGUGAAGCCUAAUGGGAGGUGAUUAGGUCAUGAGGGCUUCAUCCUUGUGAAUGGAUUAAUGCUGAGUGUAAAAGGGCUUGAGACUCUGAGCUCAAUUUGUUGCUCGCUCUCAAGGGUGUGAUGCUUUCUACUAUGUUAUGAUGAAGGAGCAAGUCCCUCAUUAGAUGUGCCCCCUCAAUCUUGGAUUUCCCAGCCCCCAGCACCAUGAACUAAAUAAACUUCUAUUGUUUGUAAAGUACCCAAUCUCAGGCACUUUAUUAUGGCAGCCCAAAAAAGAACUGACAGUGGUUUGACUAAAGAAAAAAAUUAAAAUAAAAAAAGAUGGCUCCCAGAAGAAGACUGUUAGAAAUUUUAAAAUGAUUCACUUUCAGAUAUUUGUGUGAGAAGGUACCUGUGUUUGUGUCCAUAGGAAAAUGGAGUGCAUAAUAAUAACUCCUUAGAAAAUAAAAUGGAGCUGGAAAUGGUGGCACACACCUAUAAUCCUAGCCCUCCAGGAGUCUGGAGUCUGAGGAAGGAUUGCAAAUUUGAGCCCACCUUGGACAGGUUAAUGACUUAGUGAAACCUGUCAAAAGAAAGAA